GUCCUAGCCGUAAACGAUGGACACUAGGUGUUGGUGGUAUCAACCCCGCCAGUGCCGAAGCUAACGCAUUAAGUGUCCCGCCUGGGGAGUACGGCCGCAAGGCUAAAACUCAAAGGAAUUGACGGGGGCCCGCACAAGCAGCGGAGCGUGGGGUUUAAUUCGACGCAACGCGAAGAACCUUACCAGGGCUUGACAUGGUCGGGACACCGGCGGAAACGUCGGCUCCCCGCAAGGGGCUCGAUCACAGGUGUUGCAUGGCUGUCGU
rnacentral:rRNA from 1 species